UAAACAGCACUGACUCCAGCUCCAGAUAAAGGUGCCCUGAAGCAGCUGGAUUUCUGGAGUGUCUGACUCUGCCUCUGCUUUUGCACAGCGAUGGGGAUUGCUCCUUAUCUCUGUGUCCUUCUGCUCUGUCUGACAGGUGUCCGGUCUCGGAUCGUGCUGAACCAGCCCGAGUCAGUUGUGAAAAAGCCGGGGGAGUCUCACAGACUGACCUGUACAGUGAGUGGGUUCAGCCUGGAUGACUACUGGAUGAACUGGGUAAGACAGGCCCCCGGGAAAGGGCUGGAGUGGUUACUCGAUUACAAGCAGGGUAGCAAGAGUGAUUAUGCGCCUGGAAUUCGAGGCAGAUUCGUCCCUUCAAGAGGGUCCACCACAGUCGCCUACCUCGACAUCAGCGAACUGAGAAUGGACGACACUGCCAUCUAUUACUGUGCAAGACACACACAGUGUAAAUACUGGGGGAGCGGAACCUUUCUGGAAGUGACUUCAGUUGCCCAGUCUGCACCAUCGGUCUACAUCUUAAAUCCCUCAAACUCAAACCAAGAUGAGAUCAGCCUCGUCUGUCUGGUCAAGGACUUUCAUCCCAGGAGCAUUCGUCAGACAUGGUCCAGUGACAGUGGAAUCAUUACCACUGAAAUCAGCAAGUAUCCUGCAGUCCAGGGGAAUGAUAAGAAGUACACAAUGAGCAGUGUGCUCAAAGUCUCUGCAGCAGAUUGGAAAACCAAUAGAUUCUACCACUGCCAGGCGGGCUACAACUCAAACGACAUGGUGGAACGUCAGUUUGAAACACCCAAAACUCAAGAGCCGAACAUCACCGCCCUUGUCCCAUCUGUGGAUUUUAUCUCCAGUCAGAAUGCUGUCCUGGGCUGUGUUAUAUCCGGAUUUGCUCCUGACAACAUCCAGGUUUCCUGGAAGAAAGACCAAGUGGACCAAACGGGUGUUGUUCUCUCUUCCAAACGGAGAACUGACAAUACCUUUGAAACAAUCUCAUACCUGAUUAUACCCACGGUACAUUGGAAGAAAGGCGAUAAGUACAUUUGUGAAGUCUCCCACCCACCUUCCAAUUUCAGGAGCACGAUCAGCAUGAAAUACCAAGAGGAAAUGUCUGUCUUUCUCCAAAAUCCUUCAAUGAAAGAGCUUUGGAUCAACAAGACCGCCACCCUGGUGUGUACAACAGUCUGUUCUGAUCCCAGCCAGGUCCGGAUCACCUGGAUGGUAAAUGGGAGGCAGAGAAGUAAAGGGGUUACAGCUCAGCCCCAGAGAGAGGAAGGCACCCAAUACAUCGUCAUCAGCCAACUCCAAACCACAGCAGAGGAGUGGGAGAGUGGGGUGGAGUUUGUGUGUUCUGCUCAAAGUGGUCCCUCAUCCUCACCAGUGACAAAGAGGACAAGGAGUGCAAGAGUUCCGCCAAAAAGUCCUGAAGUCAGACUGCUGCCUCCAUCGACCCAAGAGACCGAGAAGCAGAACAGAGUUACACUCGAGUGUGUGAUCACUGGAUUCUACCCAGACCUCAUACAGGUCUCCUGGGAGAAGGAUAGCAGCCUGAUCUCCUCCAAUACCCGUGCUGGCCUCACUGCUCUGGAGCAGACAGGGACAUUCAGUGUCAGGCACUACCUGACUGUGAGCACAGAGGAGUGGAGGAAAGGUUCAGUCUUCACCUGUGCAGUGUCUCAUUCUCCCUCCAACUUUACCAGCAGUCAGGAGGUGAAGAAUGUCCAAGAUGAAUGUUUGGACACUGGAAUCUCAGUCACCUUAAGCAAGCCUCCAUUUGAAGAGAUCUGGAGGAACAGAACAGCAACAAUUCUGUGUGAGGUACUUCACCGUGAUUUAGAGGGAGUCAGGGUAACCUGGAAAGUGGAUGGAAUCAUGAGACAAGAUGGAGUGAAGACCCAGGGUCCCAAGAAGAGUGGACAUAAAGAGAUCAUCUUCAGUAGACUGACAGUCCCUGCUGCAGAGUGGGAGAGUGGGGUAGAGUAUAUGUGUUUGGUGGAGGAUGAAAAUUUGCCAACACCAGAGAAGAGGUUCAUCAGGAAAGCCCAAGUUGAGGUUAAGACUCACCCUCAAGUCUAUCUCCUGCCCCCUUCACCUGAUGAGAUGGAGACCGCUCAUACUGCAACCCUGGUUUGCCUGGUCACUGGAUUCUCUCCCGCAGAUAUUGACCUGGCUUGGAUGGCCAAUGAUACCCUUUUGAAGACAGGGUUCAUUCAUCAGCCAGUGACUGAGGAUGGCAGAGGAGGCUGGAACUCAGGCAGUCGCUUGACGGUCUCUGCAGAGGAGUGGGACAGCGGCACCACGUAUUCCUGUGUGGUGGGACAUGAGUCAGUCACAACAAAUGUGUUCAGAAGCAUUAAUAAAUCUCACAGCAAACCCAACCUGGUUAAUGUCUCACUUGUUCUAACUGAAAGCUUUAACUCCUGUUCAUAACAACUGCUGAUUCAAACAAUCACCCAUUUAUAUAAUCCCUGUAAAUGGAUGGUUAACACAACCAGAAAACUGUUGUGAGCACUUUGAAACCUCUCUCCUGGUAGCAAUGCACUUCUAACAUGAACAAAAUUCAACAUUGCUCAGUACUUGAGAGAAAAAAAAAUCUCCAAAUCAGACAACACUGCUUUCUCCAGAUGCCUGAGAUCCUCAGGUCAUUUUGAAACAUUUUUUUGUGCUGUACCUGAUCAUGUGCGAAACAUGUGAAACCCCACAGAAUGUUAAUUGUAUGUCAAUGUAUUGAUCAAAUUUCAAUAAACCUGACAUGAAAAGUU